rnacentral:piRNA from 1 species
CAGAGGAAGGGCCCUGUGGGGAAUGC